rnacentral:lncRNA from 1 species
AUGCAAGCUCAGCCCCAAAGCAGCUCUGUCUGCUGUGUAAAGCCAAGCUAUAACAUGCCAGCUCUUGCUAGGGGAGGGAAAGCCCUUUCUAGACUGAGUGUGAGGUGUUUCUCUAGGGGUUUCUCUCCAACAGAGACUGAUUUUCAGUUAGGUGAGAUGGCUGCUCGCUCAGGAGUUGCUGCUUGGCUGACGCCAGCCUUGGCCUGGCAGACAGCUCUGCUUGCAGCUCCUUGGCUUUCACUGCAGUCCGCGUCAAGCAACACGAGCUGUGGCAGCACCGGCUCUUCCUGGCUCCCAGGCCAAGCUAUUGCACGGAUCCAGGGAUUAAUGCAAAAGAUGGAGAGCCAGGCUUCUGGUGUGACCUCUUUGUCUCCAGGGUCGUGACAGGCAUCACAGAGAUGCUCACAUACCACAGCAAAGCGGCGACACAAGCAGCUGUGUUGACAGAGCAAUGGAGAAAGAGAUUUCAGGCCAUCCCAACGCUGCUGUCCUGGAUACGUGCCGUCAGUCCAGGGGCACUCCAGGGCAGGGAGGGGCUCUCAUAAGAAUAUAUCCUUACCACGUCCUCUCAGCAGAUGUUACAUCAGCUUAAAAAAACUCAUAAACUCUGGCAACAUAUAUUUUAUAUGCUAUAAACUUCUGCUUUUUCCCUUGCCAUGAACUGAAUUCUUUACGCCUUCUCCCCAUAUCUCCAUGAUUAAAUAAUAACUCUCAGACUGAAGAAUGUGGCUGGACCUCACCUAAUAAUUCAAACCAUGGUGGGUUGUUAGGCAAGAGGCUGAAGAUCGAGUGCCAUUUACAGUAUCUAGGUGUGAAUUAUUGCACAAUAACUCAGGCCCAGGAGUGUUUCAUUGCAUGCAGGAGAGAGAGCAAGAGGAAAAUACAUUAAGCAGCUGGCUGUGAUCUAUAAGGUAUUACACUUACGUCGAGGGGGUCAGAUAACAUCACGUGCACCGUAAUCAGAGCCCAGGUGGUUUGCGACUGCACCAGAACACGGCGCACCGUGUAUCACUUUGCAGUGGUUUUCCCGGGCUGUUUUCGGUACUG